rnacentral:rRNA from 1 species
GACGAACGCUGGCGGCGUGCUUAACACAUGCCAGUCGAACGGAAAGGCCCUGCUUGCAGGGUACUCGAGUGGCGAACGGGUGAGUAACACGUGGGUGAUCUGCCCUGCACUUCGGGAUAAGCCUGGGAAACUGGGUCUAAUACCGGAUAGGAGCCAUUUUUAGUGUGAUGGUUGGAAAGUUUUUUUCGGUGUAGGAUGAGCUCGCGGCCUAUCAGCUUGUUGGUGGGGUAAUGGCCUACCAAGGCGGCGACGGGUAGCCGGCCUGAGAGGGUGGACGGCCACAUUGGGACUGAGGUACGGCCCAGACGCCGACGGGAGGCAGCAGUGGGGAAGAUUGCACAAUGGGCGCAAGCCUGAUGCAGCGACGCCGCGUGGGGGAUGACGGCCUUCGGGUUGUAAACUCCUUUCGCUAGGGACGAAGCUUUUUGUGACGGUACCUAGAGAAGAAGCACCGGCUAACUACGUG